rnacentral:rRNA from 1 species
AUUGAACGCUGGCGGCAGGCCUAACACAUGCAAGUCGAGCGGCAGCGGGACCUUCGGGUUGCCGGCGAGCGGCGGACGGGUGAGUAAUGCCUAGGAAUCUGCCUGUUAGUGGGGGAUAACGCGGGGAAACUCGCGCUAAUACCGCAUACGUCCUACGGGAGAAAGCGGGGGCUCUUCGGACCUCGCGCUUACAGAUGAGCCUAGGUCGGAUUAGCUAGUUGGUGGGGUAAUGGCUCACCAAGGCGACGAUCCGUAACUGGUCUGAGAGGAUGAUCAGUCACACUGGAACUGAGACACGGUCCAGACUCCUACGGGAGGCAGCAGUGGGGAAUAUUGGACAAUGGGCGAAAGCCUGAUCCAGCCAUGCCGCGUGUGUGAAGAAGGUCUUCGGAUUGUAAAGCACUUUAAGUCGGGAGGAAGGGCUGUAGGUUAAUACCCUGCGGUUUUGACGUUACCGACAGAAUAAGCACCGGCUAACUUCGUGCCAGCCGCCGCGGUAAAAC